CCUACGGGAGGCAGCAGUGAGGAAUAUUGGUCAAUGGGCUUACGCCUGAACCAGCGACGCCGCGUGAGUGAAGAAGGAAUUCGUUAUGUAAAGCUCUAUCAGCAGGGAAGAAAAUGACGGUACCUGAGUAAGAAGCCCCGACUAACUACGUGCCAGCAGCCGCGGUAAUACGUAGGGGGCAAGCGUUAUCCGGAUUUACUGGGUGUAAAGGGAGCGUAGACGGCAGUGCAGGUCUGGAGUGAAAGGCUGGGGCUCAACCCCCGGACUGCUCUGGAAACUGUACGGCUGGAGUGCAGGAGAGGUAAGUGGAAUUCCUAGUGUAGCGGUGAAAUGCGUAGAUAUUAGGAGGAACACCAGUGGCGAAGGCGGCUUACUGGACUGUAACUGACGUUGAGGCUCGAAAGCGUGGGGAGCAAACAGGAUUAGAUACCCCAGUAGUC
rnacentral:rRNA from 1 species